rnacentral:misc_RNA from 1 species
UUUCCGUAGGUGAACCUGCGGAAGGAUCAUUAUUGUAUAACCGAGGUGCGAGGGCUGUCGCUGACCCGAAAGGUCGUGCACGCCCGAGUGCCCUCACACACAUCCAUCUCACCCCUAUGUGCACCACCGCGUCGGUCCCCCUUUGGCUUGUUCGGAGGGGGGCUUACGUUUUCACACAAACUUUGUAUGCAGUGUAGAAUGUAUUUUUUGUUUUUGCGAUCACGCAAUCAAUACAACUUUCAACAACGGAUCUCUUGGCUCUC